rnacentral:rRNA from 1 species
GACGAACGCUGGCGGCGUGCUUAACACAUGCAAGUCGAACGGUAAGGCCCUUCGGGGUACACGAGUGGCGAACGGGUGAGUAACACGUGGGUGAUCUGCCCUGCACUUCGGGAUAAGCCUGGGAAACUGGGUCUAAUACCGGAUAGGACUCCGGACUGCAUGGUCUGGGGUGGAAAGCUUUUGCGGUGUGGGAUGGGCCCGCGGCCUCUCAGCUUGUUGGUGGGGUGAUGGCCUACCAAGGCGACGACGGGGAGCCGGCCUGAGAGGGUGACCGGCCGCACUGGGACUGAGAUACGACCCAGACUCCUACGGGAGGCAGCAGUGGGGAGUAUUGCACGAGGGGCGCAAGCCUGAUGCAGCGACGCCGCGUGAGGGAGGACGGCCUUCGGGUUGUAAACCUCUUUCAGCAGCGACGAAGCGAAAGUGACGGUAGGUGCAGAAGAAGGACCGGCCAACUACGUGCCAGCAGCCGCCGUAA